GAUGAACGCUGGCGGCGUGCCUAAUACAUGCAAGUCGAGCGAACAGACGAGGAGCUUGCUCCUCUGACGUUAGCGGCGGACGGGUGAGUAACACGUGGAUAACCUACCUAUAAGACUGGGAUAACUUCGGGAAACCGGAGCUAAUACCGGAUAAUAUAUUGAACCGCAUGGUUCAAUAGUGAAAGACGGUUUUGCUGUCACUUAUAGAUGGAUCCGCGCCGCAUUAGCUAGUUGGUAAGGUAACGGCUUACCAAGGCAACGAUGCGUAGCCGACCUGAGAGGGUGAUCGGCCACACUGGAACUGAGACACGGUCCAGACUCCUACGGGAGGCAGCAGUAGGGAAUCUUACGCAAUGGGCGAAAGCCUGACGGAGCAACGCCGCGUGAGUGAUGAAGGUCUUCGGAUCGUAAAACUCUGUUAUUAGGGAAGAACAAAUGUGUAAGUAACUAUGCACGUAUUGACGGUACCUAAUCAGAAAGCCACGGCUAACUACGUG
rnacentral:rRNA from 1 species